CGUAAUCACAACAGGGUGUUGCGGGGGUCGGGUGUGAGCCUGGUCCUCGUGAUGCCUUGCUGGCAUGCAUGCAUGGUGUUUCUUGCGAGGCAUCGUGGGUGUUGUGUUGGCAUGAUAACAAACCCCCGGCACGGCAUGUGCCAAGGAAAACAAAACAUAAGAAUGGUGCGUCCCGUGUUGCCCCGUUCGCGGUGUGCGCAUGGGUCGUGUCUUCUCAUUAAACCAUAAACAACUCUCGGCAACGGAUAUCUCGGCUCACGCAUCGAUGAAGAACGUAGCAAAAUGCGAUACUUGGUGUGAAUUGCAGAAUCCCGUGAACCAUCGAGUUUUUGAACGCAAGUUGCGCCCGAAGCCAUUCGGCCGAGGGCACGUCUGCCUGGGCGUCACGCAUCGCGUCGCCCCCGACCACGCCUCCCUCAUGGGAAUGGCUUGUGUCGGGGGCAGAGACUGGUCUCCCAUGCCCAUGGUGUGGUUGGCCUAAAAAGGAGUCCCCUUUGACGGACGCACGGCUAGUGGUGGUUGUCAAGGCCUUCGUAACGAGUUGUGUGGAUGCAAAGGGAUCGCUCUAAAAAGACCCCAA
rnacentral:misc_RNA from 1 species